rnacentral:rRNA from 1 species
UACGAAGGGGGGCUAGCGUUGCUCGGAAUCACUGGGCGUAAAGCGCACGUAGGCGGAUCGCUAAGUCAGGGGUGAAAUCCUGGAGCUCAACUCCAGAACUGCCUUUGAUACUGGUGAGCUUGAGUCCGGAAGAGGUGAGUGGAACUGCGAGUGUAGAGGUGAAAUUCGUAGAUAUUCGCAAGAACACCAGUGGCGAAGGCGGCUCACUGGUCCGGUACUGACGCUGAGGUGCGAAAGCGUGGGGAGCAAACAGG